rnacentral:lncRNA from 1 species
CACCAUUCGCGCUCUCUCUCUCUCUCUCUGCCCUCUUCGGUUUCACUUUCUCUCGGUCUCUCUCUGCAGCCGCCGGUCGCCGCCGCCCCCGCCUCCUCCGGUCGCCCGUGGCCACGGCCUCCUCCGAUUUGAAAGCGCCAGGCAGGCAACACAGCAGCAGUGCGGCGCCCAGCCCUCGCCGGCUUGCCCCGCCCCGUCUCCUUCGAUUGACAGCUGCAGUGCGACUGCGCAGCGCCGCCCUCACCUAUUCUCUCCCGCGCCCCGCCUCCUUUGGCCUCGGUGCCUCUGUCCGGCGACUCCACAGCAGCAGAUGUUUCCAACAAAAGGUAAGAUGGUAGGCUAUUUGGGUGUUUUAGAAGUUUGAUUUUUAAUUUUUUGUUUCUCGCCUUACCGAAGAAUCCACCGAUUAAGUCGAACAUUUUUUAGAUCUAUGAAACUAAUCGGAUGUUAGAAGAAAUUAUGAUUUUGGAAAUUACUCCAUGUAAAUAUAUUUAUUUUAGAUCCACCACCAUUUAAAUUAUUUACUGUAAACAUUAACUUAAUUUCCUUAUUAUGUGUCAGAAGCUUCAGGUUGAGAAAACUUAUAUAUAUUGCUGUAGAAUCUGUAUAAAUGAAGUGAUAUUUGGCGAACAAAUUCGAGUCUUGCUUUUAGUGUUUAAGCUUCAGGUUGAGAAAACUUAUAUAUAUUGCUGUAGAAUCUGUAUAAAUGAAGUGAUAUUUGGCG